rnacentral:rRNA from 1 species
GACGAACGCUGGCGGCGUGCUUAACACAUGCAAGUCGAACGGAAAGGCCCGGCUUUUGCGGGGUUCUCGAGUGGCGAACGGGUGUGUAACACGUGAGUAACCUGUGCUUUACUUUGGGAUAACUUCAGUGAACUGGGGCUAUUACCGGGUAUGAGCUCCUUCUGCAUGGUGGGUGUGGGAGAGUUUCGGCGUUUGGGGAUGUACUUGAGGUUUAUCAUCUUGUUGGUGGGGUAGUGGCUUACCAAGGCUUUGACGGGUAGCCGGACUGGGAGGGUGACCGGCCCCAUACGGACUCAGAUGCGAGCCAGAGUCCUACGGCAGGAAGCAGUGAGGAAUAUUGCAAACUAGGCGGAAGGCUGAUGCAGGAACGCCGCGUGCGAGAUGACGGCCUUCAGGUUGUAAAGCGCUUUCGCCUGUGACGAAGAGUGAGUGACGGUAAUGGGUAAAGAAGCAACGGCUAACUACGUG